rnacentral:tRNA from 1 species
GCAGCCGUAGCUUAAAGAAAGCAUAACACUGAAGAUGUUAAGAUGGGUCCUCAUAAACCCCGGAAGCA